AUAACAAUACAGGACUCUUUCAAGGCCCUGUAAUUGGAAUGAGUCCACUUUAAAUCCUUUAAUGAGCAUCUAUUGGAGGGAAAGUCUGGUGCAGAGCGACUGACCUGUGCGUGCUGCAGCUGAAA
rnacentral:rRNA from 1 species